ACCAGACUCCUACGGGAGGCAGCAGUGGGGGAUAUUGCACAAUGGGGGGAACCCUGAUGCAGCGACGCCGCGUGGAGGAAGAAGUAUCUCGGUAUGUAAACUCCUAUCAGCAGGGAAGAAAGAAGACGGUACCUGACUAAGAAGCCCCGGCUAACUACGUGCCAGCAGCCGCGGUAAUACGUAGGGGGCGAGCGUUAUCCGGAUUUACUGGGUGUAAAGGGAGCGUAGACGGCCAAGCAAGCCAGGGGUGAAAGCCCGGGGCCCAACCCCGGGACUGCCCUUGGAACUGCUUGGCUGGAGUGCGGGAGGGGCAGGCGGAAUUCCUGGUGUAGCGGUGAAAUGCGUAGAUAUCAGGAGGAACACCGGCGGCGAAGGCGGCCUGCUGGACCGCGACUGACGUUGAGGCUCGAAAGCGUGGGGAGCGAACAGGAUUAGAUACCCGUGUAU
rnacentral:rRNA from 1 species